AUUGAACGCUGGCGGCGUGCCUAACACAUGCAAGUCGAGCGGUAACAGGUGUAGCAAUACAUGCUGACGAGCGGCGAACGGGUGAGUAAUGCUUUGGAAUCUUCCCAGUAGUGGGGAAUAACCAGUCGAAAGAUUGGCUAAUACCGCAUACGUCGGAGACGAGAAGGCGGGGGAUCGUAAGACCUCGCGCUAUUGGAUGAGCCAAAGUCGGAUUAGCUAGUUGGUGGGGUAAUGGCCUACCAAGGCGACAAUCCGUAGCUGGUCUGAGAGGACGACCAGCCACACCGGAACUGAGACACGGUCCGGACUCCUACGGGAGGCAGCAGUGGGGAAUAUUGGACAAUGGGGGAAACCCUGAUCCAGCGACGCCGCGUGUGUGAAGAAGGCCUGCGGGUUGUAAAGCACUUUUAGUGGGGACAAAAAGUCAUGAAUUAAUACUUCGUGAUCUUGAUUUAACUCACAGAAAAAGCACCGGCUAACUCUGUGCCAGCAGCCGCGGUAAUACAGAGGGUGCGAGCGUUAAUCGGAAUUACUGGGCGUAAAGCGCGCGUAGACGGUUUGGUAAGUCAGAUGUGAAAUCCCUGGGCUCAACCUGGGAACUGCAUUUGAUACUGCCU
rnacentral:rRNA from 1 species